UGGGGAAUUUUCCGCAAUGGGCGCAAGCCUGACGGAGCAAUACCGCGUGAGGGAGGAAGGCUUUUGGGUUGUAAACCUCUUUUAUUAAGGAAGAAACUUUGACGGUACUCAAAGAAUAAGCAUCGGCUAACUCCGUGCCAGCAGCCGCGGUAAUACGGGGGAUGCAAGCGUUAUCCGGAAUCACUGGGCGUAAAGAGUCUGUAGGUGGUUUAGCAAGUCUACUGUUAAAUGUUAAAGCUCAACUUUAAAA
rnacentral:rRNA from 1 species